UACGGAGGGUCCAAGCGUUAUCCGGAAUCAUUGGGUUUAAAGGGUCCGUAGGCGGCCUUAUAAGUCAGUGGUGAAAUCUCCUAGCUCAACUAGGAAACUGCCAUUGAUACUGUAGGGCUUGAAUUUUUGUGAAGUAACUAGAAUAUGUAGUGUAGCGGUGAAAUGCUUAGAUAUUACAUGGAAUACCAAUUGCGAAGGCAGGUUACUAACAAACGAUUGACGCUGAUGGACGAAAGCGUGGGGAGCGAAC
rnacentral:rRNA from 1 species